GGCAUAAUUGGCUAAUUCAGAGUCCAGUGGGGUGGAAAUGACCCCUGAGUCCUAGAGGCUUUCCAGACACAUUAGCACACACAACAGCCGUCCAAACACACCCUGUGCCUGUACAUUCAUUCCAGCCACUUCAGGUUUCGCUGUACACACACGUGCAGUGUUCCCACAGGUGCAGCAGUAUAGUGGCAGGUUUCAGUGAGCGAUAAUGUGUUCAGGGACUGCAUGUUAACACACUAUUUGCAUUAGGACAGUGUGGGUCCCCAGCUGGGCAGCAGUGAGAGUCCCCAGCAGUAAGAGAGCUUUACCUGUGUGUUUGGCAUAAUCCCAGAUUUACCAUGGCAGGUGAGACUAGUUAAUGCAGUCAUAUGUAUUAACUGUGUGUGUGUGUGCAUACAAAGACAUUUUUGUGUUGUUUUCUGGUUCACUUCUGUUUCCACAUAGAUAUCAUUCAAAUCCAGUGUGUCCCAUAUUCUUAGUGUUCACUACUACAAAUAAUGACAAAAUAUGUCUUACACAAAUACAAACACACAAAUAGAGCUUGCACAGCCAAACCUCAGUCACUCAAAUGUUUAUAAAUGGCAAUAUUAAAGAGCAGGCAAAAGCACGCACAUCAGUCUCAACUGACUAAGAAACAAGUGGAAAAAGUUUUAGAAUAAUACUUUUUUUUUUUUUUUGGAGCUUUGGUGUUGCCGACUUUACAUUUAAAUAAAUGCCAGUAUUAGCCAUCAUGUUAAAGUUUGUUGUCUUUUUCUGACAGUAAUACGUGUUGGUUGUUAUUUACUGUAUGAAGGCACUCCACUUUUGGCAUGAUAAAAUGUGACUAUCAUCCCUACAGUAAUGUACUUUAUAAUGAGUAAUGCACAGAUUACCACACAACACACACACAUCAAGAAGAGCCAAAUGGCAAAACAGAUGAAUCAUAUGCAUUAGAAAAUAUCUUCAUUACUUGUUAAAAUUCAUAAAACAAAUUAUUGAAACUUGUUCCACGCUCUAAAGAUGUUUAAAUGCAUAGCUGAUAUAACCUAUGAAGAAGUUGUGUUCAAAGGUGUCUUAUCACAAUAAGUCUCAGUGUGUAUUAAUUCAUUAUAUCAUCCUGUAAAUAAUUUAAAGCAUGUCUAAUUACACUACUUAGGUCAAAGAAAUAGAAACACAGGCACACACUGACUCAUUUGUCUAGGGUAUUGACGUGUUGUCCAAUUAAAAAGAAGAAGGAAAAACAGGAAUUACAAGGAAGACUUCCUCUGAGCUUGUGUGUGUGGGCCCUGCAUUGCCCUCAGCCACUCAGUAAGGACUCCCGAUAAGGAGAAUUAGUCAAAACUUGGGAGCUGCCAGUGUGUGCCAAUUAAACUUUAAUCUGGGGCUGAAACAGGCACAAAUAAAUUAAAGCCUUGUGCGAGGCAAUGUGCUCUCCCCUGAUAAUACCGGUUUGAAGCGUCUGCCGGCUGCUCCGUGCUUAGUACUGUCACCAUUUCCAAUAUGGGAAAAAAAUCAUGGCAAGCCAGUUGGAGAGUAGAGCAAAGCGACUUGUAAAGUCACGCUCGC
ensembl:lncRNA